rnacentral:rRNA from 1 species
UACGAAGGGGGCUAGCGUUGCUCGGAAUCACUGGGCGUAAAGGGUGCGUAGGCGGGUCUUUAAGUCAGGGGUGAAAUCCUGGAGCUCAACUCCAGAACUGCCUUUGAUACUGAAGAUCUUGAGUUCGGGAGAGGUGAGUGGAACUCCGAGUGUAGAGGUGAAAUUCGUAGAUAUUCGGAAGAACCACCAGUGGCGAAGGCGACUCACUGGCCCGAUACUGACGCUGAGGCGCGAAAGCGUGGGGAGCAAACGG